CCUACGGGUGGCAGCAGUGAGGAAUAUUGGUCAAUGGACGCAAGUCUGAACCAGCCAAGUAGCGUGCAGGAUGACGGCCCUCCGGGUUGUCAACUGCUUUUAGUAGGGAAUAAAAGGGGGCUCGUGAGCCUCGUAUUGUAUGUUCCAUCAGAAAAAGGACCGGCUAAUUCCGUGCCAGCAGCCGCGGUAAUGCGGAAGGUCCGGGCGUUAUCCGGUUUUAUUGGGUUUAAAGGGCGCGUAGGCGGGCUUUUAAGUCAGUGGGGAAAGUCCGCGGCUCAACCGUGGAAUUGCAGUUGAAACUGGAGGCCUUGAGUACACACAGGGAUGCCGGAAUUCAUGGUGUAGCGGUGAAAUGCUUAGAGAUCAUGAAGAACUCCGAUCGCGAAGGCAAGUGUCCGGGGUGCAACUGACGCUGAGGCUCGAAAGUGCGGGUAUCAAACAGGAUUAGAUACCCUAGUAGUC
rnacentral:rRNA from 1 species